AUUGCCCUAGUAACGGCGAGUGAAGCGGCAACAGCUCAAAUUUGAAAUCUGGCCUUCUUUGGGGGUCCGAGUUGUAAUUUGCAGAGGGUGCUUUGGUGUUGACAGCGGUCUAAGUUCCUUGGAACAGGACGUCACAGAGGGUGAGAAUCCCGUACGUGGUCGCUUGCCUCCGCCGUGUAAAGCCCCUUCGACGAGUCGAGUUGUUUGGGAAUGCAGCUCUAAAUGGGAGGUAAAUUUCUUCUAAAGCUAAAUACUGGCCAGAGACCGAUAGCGCACAAGUAGAGUGAUCGAAAGAUGAAAAGCACUUUGGAAAGAGAGUCAAACAGCACGUGAAAUUGUUGAAAGGGAAGCGCUUGCAGCCAGACUUGCCCGUAGUUGCUCACCCGGACUUUUGCCCGGGGCACUCUUCUGCGGGCAGGCCAGCAUCAGUUUGGGCGACCGGAUAACGGCCUCUGUCAUGUAUCUUCCUUCGGGAUGACCUUAUAGGGGAGGCGUAAUGCGGCCAGCCCGGACUGAGGUCCGCGCUUCGGCUAGGAUGCUGGCGUAAUGGCUGUAAGCGGCCCGUCUUGAAACACGGACCAAGGAGUCUAACAUCUAUGCGAGUGUUUGGGUGUCAAGCCCGGGCGCGUAAUGAAAGUGAACGGAGGUGGGAACCCUUUCGGGGGUGCACCAUCGACCGAUCCUGAUGUCUUCGGAUGGAUUUGAGUAAGAGCAUAGCUGUUGGGACCCGAAAGAUGGUGAACUAUGCUUGAAUAGGGUGAAGCCAGAGGAAACUCUGGUGGAGGCUCGCAGCGGUUCUGACGUGCAAAUCGAUCGUCAAAUUUGGGCAUAGGGGCGAAAGACUAAU
rnacentral:rRNA from 1 species